rnacentral:lncRNA from 12 species
CCCCUGCACCCCGCACACCACCCUCUCCUGCCCGCCGUGCCAGCACAGAAACCCAGGACCCCCAAGGGAACAGCAAACUGCCUUUUCACAGCUCAACAAAGAUGCUUCAAGAACGUGCCUUAAAACAAAUUCUGUUGGGAGUUGUCAAGGCUUCUGCCUCAAGGGCAAGCCCACUUUGAGGGGAGGUCAAAGGCAUCUGGAGCUUUCCAAACUGCUGUUAAGUCUAACACUCCAAGAGCCAACAGGACAGAUUAAAAUCGGAUUUUGCCUGCAAUACCAUUUGGGAUCGAGCCUGCAUUGCUGAGUGUGUCCUCCAGCCGGGGAGCCUGGUUUGCAGACCCUCCGCCAGCCUCGUGCUCCCAAACACGGCUUCCAAGCAGCGCGACUGCUUUCCGUGGGAGAGGCCUGGCUGCUGGGAUGGGGAUGGGGUUGGGAUGGGACUGUCCGAGGGCGUCGGGCCAUGCCUGCCCAUCUCUGAGCAGCGCUCUCCUCCCUAUGACAACAGGUGUGCCGCGCUACAAACAGUCAGCUUCGGGAAAAGAAUUCGCAAACAAGUAUAACAGGAUAUUCAGAAAACUGGUGCAGGGUGACUCAUCUCAUCGAACGCAAACUAUCUGGGAUGUGACGUUCUGCUGUUGCAUUGGCAGCUCGGUCCGGCGAGGAUGUUUCCCUGAGAGGUAAGUGAGAGCGCAGAGCCUCCCUCCUCUCCAGGCCAGAGGAAAACACCCAACAACAAUGUCAACAUCAACAAGAAGGACACAAAGAGUGGGUGUGCUGGAAAUUCCAUUGGCGUGAAGUAUGCAGGGAAAAGCCUGGCCAGUCAUCACGGCUGCUGAAAAACAGAUUGGGUGCUUAUUGUUUUGCUCCAUGAGUAAGUCAGCAAAGAAAUGUGGGUGUGUGCAGUCAGGAAGAAAAUAGACUUCAAAACAUGUGGGAAUCCUUCUUUUUUUUUUUUUUUAAUCGUUAAGGAAAAUAUAUGUGGAGAGAUUAUUUAGCUCCUAAAAUUAAAAAAAAGAAAAAAAAAAAAAAAAAAGAAAAGCACGUGUCCUCUAUCCCUGCAAUUCAUUGAAACCCAAAGUUGGCAAAACCCCGCAUCCUGGUACAACCUCUACCGGUAUUUCUGCGUGAUGAUCCUUAGGGCUGUUAAAAAUGUUGCCAACCCUCCCUCUGUCUUUCAUUAAACCCCCAAAAGGAAUGCAGUGACCUGGAGUUUGCGUACGUUACAGCUUAACUGACGGUCCGGACAUCUCCUCCUCCACAGCGGGUCACCAUGAAUCAGAGUUUUUGUGGUUCUUCUAUUCAAACAGGCAGGCACUUGGUGGUUUGCCUUUUUGUUUAAUUUGCUACAAGAUCACACAGGCUAUUUUUCAACAGUUUUAGAAAGCAUCUUGGGAAAUCCACAAAAAUGGGUUGAAUCAUCUAACCCAAAGCGGCUCAUGCCACAUCUGACUGAAUCUUGCUCUUUUUUGGCCCCCCUCUUAGGAGAAGGUUCUCAACCUCAGUUACAUGUAAGAGCAAGGGUGCAGACUUGAUUUUAGAGUCUGACACGAGAAAGCCCAAGCAGACCUGAGGAUGCUCUCACCGGGAGGGGAAAGUACGGGUGACACAGUUGCCAACUGCUCCAGGUGCUCUGGAAAGGUCUGACUCACCCCAAAAUGGAGAUGCUCUUAUGCAAAAGUGA